GACGAACGCUGGCGGCGUGCUUAACACAUGCAAGUCGAACGAAGAGCGAUGGAAGCUUGCUUCUAUCAAUCUUAGUGGCGAACGGGUGAGUAACGCGUAAUCAACCUGCCCUUCAGAGGGGGACAACAGUUGGAAACGACUGCUAAUACCGCAUACGAUCCAAUCUCGGCAUCGGGACUGGAUGAAAGGUGGCCUCUAUUUAUAAGCUAUCACUGAAGGAGGGGAUUGCGUCUGAUUAGCUAGUUGGAGGGGUAACGGCCCACCAAGGCGAUGAUCAGUAGCCGGUCUGAGAGGAUGAACGGCCACAUUGGGACUGAGACACGGCCCAGACUCCUACGGGAGGCAGCAGUGGGGAAUCUUCCGCAAGGGACGAAAGUCUGACGGAGCAACGCCGCGUGAGUGAUGACGGCCUUCGGGUUGUAAAGCUCUGUUAAUCGGGACGAAUGGUUCUUGUGCGAAUAGGGCGAGGAUUUGACGGUACCGGAAUAGAAAGCCACGGCUAACUACGUA
rnacentral:rRNA from 1 species